GACGAACUGUCCUAACGUUGUUCGGAAUCACUGGGCUUAAAGGGCGCGUAGGCGGUCGACCAAGUCAGGGGUGAAAUCCUGCAGCUUAACUGUAGAAGUGCCUUUGAUACUGGUCGUCUGGAGGGAGGUAGGGGUGUGCGGAACUUCCAGUGGAGCGGUGAAAUGCGUUGAUAUUGGAAGGAACGCCGGAGGCGAAAGCGGCGCACUGGACCUCUUCUGACGCUGAGGCGCGAAAGCUAGGGGAGCAAACGGG
rnacentral:rRNA from 1 species